UAAAUUAGUGGUUAAAUGUGUUGUAAUGGCUCACCUGACUCAUGGCUCUUGCAUGUAUGGCUGGUUUAGGGUAGAUGGGCUAUAGUUUCAGAUGAGCUCAGUUCCCAUAUAGGCAACUAAAUGAAAUGGCCAUAUUUUUAAAUCGGCACCAAACAGAUUCCAAUGAAAACAAUAGGAGGUGCAGAAUGCUGCAAACUUUUGAAAAACUGGCCACUUACUAAAGUGCCUAAAUGGUAGCUGAACUCUUCUGAAAAUCUGACCUGACCCCUUCUUGAAAUACAAUUUACUACAAUUAACAACUACAAAAUGUUUCACAUGGGCACAGACUGUUUAGCACUCAAUGAACUGUAGCUCUGGCCAUCAUCUGAGAUGCAGCUAGAACAAUUUCUUCAUCUUUCCUUGUAAAUUAUUUAUUGUAUCAAUCUUAAAAGCUAAUAAAUUAUGUUUAUCACACGAUCUAGCCCUCCUACCAACCAUUUUCAUGCCUAUACGUGAAAGCCACUGGUGUCCUAGGACUCCUUUAAACUUCAACAGCCUGAUACUGAGAUGGGCUGAACACCUGCACUCCUCUGCAAACCUAUUGAUAGGACAUAGGAUCAAUGAUAAUAGAUAGAUUCUUUAAUUCUGAAAAUUUCAGGCUGGAUAGUGAUUCUGUUUAGAGUAUGGAACAAUAUGGGGCUAAACCACAUUGUGUAGAAAAUAAGGAACAGUUCUUAUAUUGUAAAAUAAAUAGUAAGUAACCUCAUGUCUCCUUUCUGCUGCUGCUUCCUACGAGCUGUUUGAUUGCCUUCUCUGUAUAAUCAAGAAAGGAGUUUUGUAUGUUUUCUCCCUUCAAGUUAUUCUCAAGGUUUUAGGUAUGAUCCUUCCUGCUCUUUACUUCUUCAGAUCACAUCCAUGUUUCUCUUCUGUGUUAGCUUUUUUAUUUUUAAAGAAAGAUAUUUCUUACUCCAGUUCCGUGUCCUCAAGACCAAGCUGCCACUAACUAGGAAUCUUGUUGGCAGUCUCACACAAGAGGGACAGGACUGAGUGGGCCAUGGGGACUGAAUUCACCUGUGGAAUUCAGGGCAGAGUUGGAGCACAUUUCGGAGUCAGCAAAUAGUCUGGAAGCAUGUGCAAUUCUAUGGGCUCAUUAAUGAUAGAAAGAUUACUAUAAAUGGAAGGAGUACUUCGAGUUGAUUUGCCAUCAUUGGCAAAAAAGAAGCAGUUCAGUUGUAUCGACUAUCGGCUUUGUUUUUUAUGCCAAAAGAGUUGUAAUGAGGCACUGGUUAAGAUGUCAGCAUCAAGUCAGAAAUUACUGGAAUCCAUCUGCAAAUGGCAUUAGUGUGCAGAUGAAGAGUAACAUCUAGUAGCUGCAUCUUUGGAGAAUACCACCGUGGAGAACUGGGUUAAACAAAAUGCUUCAGUGGCACCUCGCAUGCUUAUAAGAAGUGCGCCCAUAAACUGAAUUUGGAGAGGCUGGAGAGAAAGUACAUCAAGCACCCAGGAAAAUGUUGAAGAUGCCAAGAUGAGUGCCAUCUGUGGGCGAGUCUUUGCUGUUCUUUAUUUGAUCUGUCAGGACUGCUAAUUGGCAUUUGUACCUCACAGCACUGGAAGACUUUGUUAAAUACUUCUUUGCUGUAGAUUUAACCAGCUAUAUUGUGAUGAUUGCCUGGUACCUCCCUGAAAUAAGAGGUGUAGAAAAAUGGAGGAAUUUUGAAAGGGAAAUUGGGUUGUUAAAAGGCCGCCAGCUCCCUUCUGUGCACUUGGUUCAGAUGAAGCCCUAGAACAGUGGUUCCCAAACUUGUUCCACUGCUUGUGCAGGGAAAGCCCCUGGUGGGCUGGGCCGGUUUGUUUACCUGCCACGUCUGCAAGUUCAGCCGAUUACGGCUCCUAGUGGCCGCGGUUUGUGGCCGCGAUUGGCUGAACCUGCGGAUGCGGCAGGUAAACAAACCGGCCCAGCCCACCAGGGGCUUUCCCUGCACAAGCGACGGAACAAGUUUGGGAACCACUUUCCUAGAACAUAAAAAUAGAGCAACGAAAGUGAAGGGGGGUAGAGUGGGCAUAACACAGUAUCCAAAGGCUCUUUCACAGUUUUUCCUGACAAAUCCAGAACUACAUCCAUCAAGUUUUCAAUGAAACAUUAAGCAUGACUGGGAUGACUUCCCCAGAAAAAGCCAAGCUCCAUCUAAAUUCAUUAGGUGCAGUUAUAUGCCAAGAAGGGGCAAUUUUAAAGCUACAGGAUGGCAACCUGUUUGGGCCGGAGCUCAUUAAUAUUAUGAUAAAAACAGUCUUCAGUAAUGAGAUAACUGAAGAUGUCAGUCAGAUGCAUACUUCUGGUCAUGAUUUGUAUGAAACCUUUAAAACCCAAAGAAUUAUUCCAGGCUCUUUCAAACUAUGGGCUCCAGUCAAGAAGAACAGACUAAAGCUGUGCUCUUAUAUAAGAGAUAAAGUCAGAGUGAAGGUGGCAGGGACGAUUACUGAGUUAACCACACAUAGGACAUUGUUUGCUCUUCUCCAGGUUGUGUCCAGAUCUCAAAAUGAUGUUGAUAUGUGAGACUUUGAAAAAAGUACAAGUUCUCUGUGGUACCAAAAUUGAUGUUUGAACGUGAUAGAACAAUGUGUAUGUGCCAGGCGAAAAGCAAACUAAUGCACAUCUUCCAUUGUGUUCCUAAGCCACCACCUAUUAACAAUGUGACCGGGACCUUAUACCAGCAAAGGCCUUUCAGCAUAGCAAUCAUAGAUGCUAUGGUUGAGAUAUAUGCUCUCAACAAACCAGAAACUGUUAAUACCUGCCAAGAUUUGGCUGAACACUUCAUUAUGAAGCUACAGAGAAAAUACUGGAUGUAUGACAAAGUCCCCCUUGCAUUUGAUAUGUAUGCAGAGAAAGCAAUGAAAAAUAGUACCAGGAAGAAGACACUCCAUGAUAUUACAACUGUCCAAUACAAAAUAAUUGACUCCACAAACUUCUCCAAUGUCACAAUGGAAGAUUGACUGGAAAGACCAAAUUGUCUUAUUGGAAGGCAUUUGAUUAAGCCUCCAGAGACUUUCCUCACUCUUAAGAUACUCGGAACAGCUGAGAGAGUCACUGAUGAGGUCAUAAAUGCACUGGAGGCAUUUGUAUGCUGAGUUUAUCAUUUUAAGACCAUCAGGACAACACUCGCAGAGCUACAUAGAUGGAUGUUUUCCAAGAAGCAGACAAAUGGAGAAAAAUUGCCACUGACAAGGGGUGCGUUUAUACCUGCUAACACCAAGGCAAAUUAUUGAGUAAUGGAAUGGCUCCAGAAUGAUUGAACACAUCCAAAACUAUUCUCCCUAUGGAUGAGUCUUGUUGUGUGUGAAAUACCAUAUACUCCUGAAUUAAUCCUUCAGCUAAUCAAAUGCUCAUCUGCAAAUACCAGAUGCUCACUCUGUAAAUGUUUGGCCAUCAGCCUGUCUUGUAUGGAGAUGUGCGAGUGUGGUGUGGACAAAGGUCAGUGUGACAGCAUGUCUAGCAGUGGUGCCGUAGACUGAGAUGACAUGGAUGGUGAUUUUGCUGAAUAAAUGUUUUCAAUCCUGCAAGUCAAGGCUAACUUCUCUAGAAUUACCAAAGAUCAAUGUCUUUUUUUUUUUUUUUUUUAUGUAAGCAUUGCAUUCCUGCGUUGAAGUAUCAUUAAAUAAAGUUGAUUUUUAAGCAUU